ACGAACACAAUUCAAGUCUCUACUAUCGCUUUACCUCUUGAUUCCACCACCAAUUUGCUCGUAUCUAGCCACAAGUUACUUAAUUACAUCAAUAAAUUCUAAAUGAAUCAAUUCUAAUGCAUGAAAAUAAGUUUUCCAAAAUUUUACCCAAAAAGUCAAAAAUUGCCUCGGGGCCACAUGGUCAAAACCCGAGGUUCGAACCAAAACCCGAUUACCCAUUUCCCCACGAGCCCAAAUAUAUAAUUUGUUUUGAAAUCGGACCCCAAAUGGAGGUCAAAAUCCCCAAUUUUUGAAAAACCUAGGUUCUACCCAAAAACACCCAAUUCCNNNNNNNNNNNNNNNNNNNNNNNNNAUACAAUUGAUUUGGAAGAAGUGUUGCUCUUGAAAAAUCGCCCUAGGGAGUUUGUGUUUUGAAAAGAUGUGAAAAAUGAUUGAUUUUCGGCUAAGUAUAAAAGUUGCAGGUCGCGGAUGUGGGAAUUGCGAACAGGGGUUCGUAAUUGUGAACCCCGACCUCUGCUAAGUUGGGAAAUGCGAAGGGGCUCUCGCAAUUGCGAGAUGGGAAAUGCGAACCAAAUAUCGCAUUUGCGAUAACAGGCCCAAGAGGACAUAUCGCAUUUGCGAAGGGUGUCUCGCAUUUGCGAAAUGGAGCUGGCCUGGGCUUCUUUCGCAAUUGCGACAAGACCCUAGCACUUGCGAUAUCGGAUUUGCAAUCCAGGAUUCGCAAAUGCGAAGCUUGCAUGCCUGCUAUGCACAACUGAAAACUACAAUUUCCUCAAGUCUAAAAUCCACCCCGUGGCCUAUCCAAAACUCACCUGAUCCCUUGGGGCUCCAGACCAAACAUGUACACCAAUCCCAAAAUAUCAUACGGACUCGUUCGUGCAUUCAAAUCACUAAAAUAACAUCAAUAACUAUUAAUUUAGCAUCAAAAUCAUGAAAUUUCCUUAUGAACUUCAAUUUCCAAUUUUUCUCAAAAAUGAUCUGAUUCACGUCGUUUCAAGUCCGUUUCUUACCAAACCUCACAGACUUAUCUUAAUUCACAUAUAACACCUAUACUGGGCGCCAGAACCAAAAUACGGGCCUGAUACCAUCAAGUUCUAAUCACAAUUCCUUUCCAAAUCGCAUAAUUAAUUUCAUAAAACAAUUUCUUUCGAAAAUUCAUUUCCCGGGCUUGGGACCUCGGAAUUUGAUUUCGGGCAUACGCCCAAGUCCCAUAUUUUCCUACGGACCCUUCGGGACCGUCAAAUCACGGAUCUGGGUCCUUUUACCCAAAAUGUUGACCGAAGUCAACUUAAUUUAUUUUAUAGUCCAAAUUUAUUAUUUUUCACAUAUUUCUAUAAAAUGGCUUUCCGGCUACGCGCACGGACUAUGAACGCAAAUUAAGGUAAGACUAAAAAAGGGUUUUAAAGCCUCGGAACGUAGAAUUCAUUUUAAAAACAAGUGAUGACCUUUUGGGUUAUCACAUUUAGCCCUUAUGUAUUUAUUUUGAUUUGGACAUUCUGGAGUUAGAUCACAAUAUAGUAUCCAUAGCUUGUGAUUUCAUGAGAUUCCGGAUUUUGGAAGUUGUCUAGUUUGAGAGUUUAUAUUUGUAUAUGCCGAGCGGCAUUUUAAACUUUCAUUAUGUUUAUUUCUGCAGUUUUUAUUAGUUUUAUCUGUUGUUCCCUUUUUCCACAAAUUGUUAGGCUUACCUAAUCGAAAAGACUAGGUGCCAUCACAACAGUUCAUGGAGGGAGAACUGGGGCCGUGACAAUUCAUUAUCGCCACUUGGCAUAAUUAUUGGUGUCCCAAGUAACCAAUUUAUUUUAAAUCCCAAACCGAGGAAAAUUGACUCUAUUUUUUGAUCCGCGAACACAGAAAACCGGGUAAGGAAUUCUGGUAACCCGGGAGAAGGCGUUAGGCAUUGGUUUUAGCACGGUCGCUCAACUAUUAAUAAUUGGCCUAAUUAUCUGCUUAAUUGCGUGUUUUAAAUCUAUUGUGCAUUUUUAACUUUAGUGCCGCUUUUAUUUAUUUAUGGAUUUAUUUCUGGAACAAGUCAUGAUUGUCGUACACUUGUCGUUUUGGUACAUAUUACAAGCCGCAUCACAUGAAAUGCACCCGCGAUUUACAACAUGUUCAUUUUUUAUUAUUGUUUGAAGUUAUGGUCAAGUCACAUAAAACGCACUCCCGAAUUGGGGAUUGCGUAUCAUGACUAUGGCACGGGAACCGUACCCAUAGUCACGAUAAUUUUAUUAAUCGCGCCUAAAGCAAGCUACGAUGUUCAUGAGUUAUUUUCCUUCUUUGAGGUUACUAUAAAGUCAUAAGGUAUGGAUAUUAUUGUGGAGGAAAUAAAGUGAAUUAAUUAUGAAUGAGUAGACUAGCUUCGUGUGUUUGAAAAAAAUUGGAUCGGCACAUGAAUAAAUAGGAACGUUGUUGUUUCUCUUCUUUUUUUAUUGGCUUUUGGCAGAUAUAUAUCUAAUUUGGCCUAAACUCGCAAACUAAAUUGCACAUCCAAUCCAGUUUCUGAUUUUUACAAGACAAACCAAAUGGCCAAAUUGGCAUAACUAAUGAACAAAGGUUCCAAGGAAAAAUAAUGAUUCACUACUUCUUAUUUUUUUUAGCUAUCAAACAAGAACUAAAAGAUUUUUAGAGUUAUAUCUAAUGCUCAUGAAAUUAGAAUUGAAAUAGGAGAUUCAGACAACAAUAUACCAACUAAAACGAUUCUGGCAAACCUAGUGUAAAUCAAACCGAUGCACAAUUUAAACAGAUAUUUCAUGAAGAAAUGAAAUUAAUUACUGCAAAUCAAGUCACUAUUAUUAUCAUUGUAAAAUAAACAAACAAAUAUUCCGGAGAUGGGUUGUUUAUGCAAGUGAUUAACAAUGGAAUUUUUAAUUGUACAUAGAUAACAUCACAGAAUGAACAAGGGAUGGAGGCAGCUUUAUUGAUCUAAUAUGCUGAAUUUCAGAUGAUUAAACGCACACGUAGUGUGAAAGAUCAAAUAUAAGGUUGUAUAGAAAUGUACAGAUGGACAUGAACAUACCUAAAUGCCAAAAAAACUAGAGUUUAGCAGCCUUUUGAAACAACCAAAUCAACAACAACAAGCAUGAAUUUGAGCUUUGACGGCUUGUGCAAACCCAGAAAAGAGGAAGUUGAUUUUUUGAAACUUCAGUAAUUAAUACCCUUUUUAAUGUUCUUUGAAAUUCAGUUUUCAAAAACCAGAAAAAUAGUAUUGAAGACCUCUUGAAUCAACCACUACGACUGAUUAUUUUGAGUAAAAAAAAGGUCAGCUGAAACUUUACUCUUUUUUUGUGUUUUUCCCCUCAAUUUGAAGCUGAAAAUUACAGAUCUAAUAAGGAAAUUUUUGAAUUUCAAAUUUGUUUUCAGAUGCAUUUAGGUGUGUAGCCCAAUGUAUGAGUAUGGGUGAGAAGAUAAGAAAUAAGAAGGGGAUAGGAGAGGGGUGCAACGACUAGGGUUAGUUUGAGGGAGGGGAUCUAAUUUUCUCUUUUUUGAGAUGGUGAUG
rnacentral:lncRNA from 1 species